GAACCGGUUUCUGCUCGCACUGGUAGUCUGUUUGUCGCUGGAGGGAUUUUUUUUUUCUUUUUAAGAACAAGAAAAAAAAAGGAAUCUGGUCACACAAGAUGCGACCAUUUCCUCUCUAAGAGCCAUCGAACCCUCCACGAAGACCCGGGUGACAUUUUUAUUAUUAUGGAUGUGCCCACGCAGAUGAGAGAGACGCGCUGGGAAAGAGAAGGGGGCCCACCUUCAAGGAAGAGAGAGUAAAUAGAUCAAAUGUUU